rfam:Limnochorda pilosa DNA, complete genome, strain: HC45.
GGGAGCAGGCGUCCGUCUGGUGACGGCCACGGUCUUCAAAACCGUCGGCGGGUGCGAUCCACCCGCGGUGGGUUCGAUUCCCAUCUGCUCCC